UGUGUAGGCGGUUUGUCAAGUCAGAUGUGAAAGCCCACGGCUCAACCGUGGAAGUGCAUUUGAAACUGGCAGACUUGAGUAUCAGAGGGGAAAGUGGAAUUCCCGGUGUAGAGGUGAAAUUCGUAGAUAUCGGGAGGAAUACCGGUGGCGAAGGCGACUUUCUGGCUGAAUACUGACGCUGAGGCUCGAAAGCGUGGGGAGCAAACAGGAUUAGAUACCCUGGUAGUCC
rnacentral:rRNA from 1 species